rnacentral:rRNA from 1 species
AUUGAACGCUGGCGGCAGGCCUAACACAUGCAAGUCGAGCGAGCGGCGGACGGGUGAGUAAUGUAUGGGGACUGCCCGAUAGAGGGGGAUAAAUACUGGAAACGGUGGCUAAUACCGCAUACUAUCGGAUAACCCAUAUGGGAUUAGCUAGUAGGGGGGGUAAAGGCUCACCUAGGCGACGAUCUCUAGCUGAUCUGAGAGGAUGAUCAGCCAAACUGGGACUGAGACACGGCCCAGACUCCUACGGAGGCAGCAGUGGGGAAUAUUGCGCAAUGGGCGCAAGCCUGAUGCAGCCAUGCCGCGUGUAUGAAGAAGGCCUUAGGGUUGUAAAGUUCUGUCAGCGGGGAGGCGUUACCUAAAGAGAAAGCACCGGCUAACUCCGUGCCAGCAGCCGCGGUAAUAC